rnacentral:rRNA from 1 species
GACGAACGCUGGCGGCGUGCCUAAUACAUGCAAGUAGAACGCUGAAGGAGGAGCUUGCUCUUCUGGAUGAGUUGCGAACGGGUGAGUAACGCGUAGGUAACCUGCCUGGUAGCGGGGGAUAACUAUUGGAAACGAUAGCUAAUACCGCAUAAUAGUAGAUGUUGCAUGACAUUUGCUUAAAAGGUGCAAUUGCAUCACUACCAGAUGGACCUGCGUUGUAUUAGCUAGUUGGUGAGGUAACGGCUCACCAAGGCAACGAUACAUAGCCGACCUGAGAGGGUGAUCGGCCACACUGGGACUGAGACACGGCCCAGACUCCUACGGGAGGCAGCAGUAGGGAAUCUUCGGCAAUGGACGGAAGUCUGACCGAGCAACGCCGCGUGAGUGAAGAAGGUUUUCGGAUCGUAAAGCUCUGUUGUAAGAGAAGAACGAGUGUGAGAGUGGAAAGUUCACACUGUGACG